UGGACCAAUGACGCUGGUUGGGGGAGCGUGAGUCCCGGGCAGUGGGUAUCACAUCUGAAACUCUGAGGUCCCA